rnacentral:rRNA from 1 species
CCUACGGGAGGCAGCAGUGAGGAAUAUUGGUCAAUGGGCGCGAGCCUGAACCAGCCAAGUCGCGUGAGGGAUGACGGGCCUACGGGUUGUAAACUUCUUUUGUAGGGGAGUAAAGGACGCCACGUGUGCCUUUCCGUGUGUACUCUAUGAUAACGCAUCGGCUAACUCCGUGCCAGCAGCCGCGGUAAUACGGAGGAUCCGAGCGUUAUCCGGAUUUAUGGGGUGAAAGGGGUGCGCAGGGGGAAGAUCAAUUCAGCGGUAAAAUUUGGAGGCUCAACCUCAUCGUGCACUUGAAACUGGUUGUCUUGAGUACAGGUGAAGUAGGCGGAAUGCGUGGUGUAGCGGUGAAAUGCAUAGAUAUCACGAAGAACGCCGAUUGCGAAGGCAGCAUACUGGACUGCAACUGACGUUGAUGCCCGAAAGUGUGGGUAUCAAACAGGAUUAGAUACCCUAGUAGUC